rnacentral:rRNA from 1 species
AAGGUAGCAUAAUCAUUUGUUUUUUAAUUGAAAACUGGCAUGAAAGGUUAAACAAGGAAAAUUUUCUAAAUUUUUAAAAAAGUAAUUUGUAUUUUAAGUAAAAAUACUUAAAUAGCUUUGAGGGACGAUAAGACCCUAAAAGCUUUAUUUUAAAUAUAUUUUAAAAAUUAAUUAUAAGUAAUAAAUUAAAUAUAAAAAUUAACUGGGGUAGUUGUUUCAAAAAAAUUGAAAUUUUUUUACAGUUUUAAAUAAAUGGUUUAAGUUCUUUUAGAUAAGGAAAAUUAGUGUUAGUUACUUUAGGGAUAACAGCGUUAUAUUUUUGGAGAGAUCUUAUCUAUAAAAAUGAUUGCGACCUCGAUGUUGAAUUAAAAUUACUUUAUAAGGUAGAAUAUAUAAAAGUAGGUUUGUUCAACCUUUAAAUUUUUACGUGAUCUGGUUUCCAAACCGGAUUGUUCAACGAUUAAAGUCCUACGUGAUCUGAGUUC